rnacentral:rRNA from 1 species
CCUAAGGAUGGGACUGCGCCCGAUCAGGUUGUUGGUGGGGCAAUGGCCUACCAAGCCUAUAACCGGUACGGGCCCUGAGAGGGGUAGCCCGGAGAUGGGAACUGAGACAAGGUCCCAGGCCCUACGGGGCGCAGCAGGCGCGAAAUCUCCACAAUACACGAAUGUGUGAUGGGGUUAUCCCGAGUGCUAUCCGCUGAGGAUGGCUUUUCUUCAGUGUAAGUAGCUGGAGGAAUAAGAGGGGGGCAAGACUGGUGUCAGCCGCCGCGGUAAUACCAGCCCCUCGAGUGGUAGGGACGAUUAUUUAGCCUAAAGCGUUCGUAGCCGGCUUAGCAAGUCCCUCGUGAAAUCCGAUGACUUAAUCGUCGGGCGUGCGAAGGAUACUGUUAAGCUUGGGGACGGGAGAAGUCGACGGUAGUCCCGGUGUAGGGGUGAAAUCCUAUAAUCCCGGGAGGACCACCAGUGGCGAAGGCGGUCGACUAGAACGCGCCCGACGGUGAUGGACGAAAGCUGGGGGAGCGAACCGGAUUAGAUACCCGGGUAGUCCCAGCUGUAAACGAUGCGGGCUAGGUGUUGGGGCAGCCACGAGCUGCUCCAGUGCCGCAGGGAAGCUCUUAAGCCCGCCGCUUGGGAAGUACGGUCGCAAGGCUGAAACUUAAAGGAAUUGGCGGGGGAGCACCACAAGGGGUGAAGCCUGCGGUUUAAUUGGAGUCAACGCCGGA